rnacentral:rRNA from 1 species
UGGCGGAAGUUUUCGGAUGGAAGCUGGAUUGACUGAGUGGCGGACGGGUGAGUAACGCGUGGGUAACCUGCCUCACACUGGGGGACAACAGUUAGAAAUGACUGCUAAUACCGCAUAAGCGCACAGGACCGCAUGGUCUAGUGUGAAAAACUCCGGUGGUGUGAGAUGGACCCGCGUUUGAUUAGCUAGUUGGUGGGGUAACGGCCUACCAAGGCGACGAUCAAUAGCCGACCUGAGAGGGUGACCGGCCACAUUGGGACUGAGACACGGCCCAAACUCCUACGGGAGGCAGCAGUGGGGAAUAUUGCACAAUGGGGGAAACCCUGAUGCAGCGACGCCGCGUGAGUGAAGAAGUAUUUCGGUAUGUAAAGCUCUAUCAGCAGGGAAGAAAAUGACGGUACCUGACUAAGAAGCCCCGGCUAACUACGUGCCAGCAGCCGCGGUAAUACGUAGGGGGCAAGCGUUAUCCGGAUUUACUGGGUGUAAAGGGAGCGUAGACGGUAAAGCAAGUCUGAAGUGAAAGCCCGGGGCUCAACCCCGGGACUGCUUUGGAAACUGUUUAACUAGAGUGCUGGAGAGGUAAGCGGAAUUCCUAGUGUAGCGGUGAAAUGCGUAGAUAUUAGGAGGAACACCAGUGGCGAAGGCGGCUUACUGGACAGUAACUGACGUU